rnacentral:lncRNA from 1 species
CCCAGGACGAGAGCAGCCAACUAAAGAGCUUCUGGAUGUGGCAUUGUAAAAGAUAAGAAAAGAAUCCCAUUGAAUGGCUAGCAAGCAGAAGAAUGCAUGUCAGCUCCUUCUGUGAAUACCUAAGGAAUGGAAUGGCAGCCCUGCCCCCCAACUUCACAGACAAUACAAGUACUCACAAGUUUCUAGAAAGUGUGUACAGCAUCCACAUAGUCCUGAGGGAAGUUGGGUGCAGUUUACACCAUUACAAUAAAAUUGGAAAGAGAAGAGAGAAGUAUGAGCUCACUCCACUGCCUGUCUCCAGGGAGAGGUUACAGUGCAAAAGGUCACCUUGGGCGAUUGAAAAGGAAAGCAUUCUUAUGCAUCCAGAUUCAUUUAUUUUUUGGCUUGAAUUUGUAGCAGAGAAAAAGCACCAAUUCCCCACUGUUUCCUGUUCGUAG